CAGACCCAGUACGAGUAGUGUCCGUGGCUGUGCCUGUUUCAGAUCUGCUUAACUCAAACAGCACUGGACAAGCUUCAGUGGAGCUUUGCUGUGGCACGUAAGGUUCUUCCGAAACUGCUGGAACACUUUGGGAACAAGGGUAGCCAGCCUUUUUCCUGGAGAGCUACUUCUUCCUUCAUUUCCAACUUUGCUCCAACACACUUGCCUGUAGUUUUAAAAAAUAAAGCAAUAAAGUCCAGAACAUUUUGUUUAGCUGGUUCAGGUGUGCUUGCCUUGGGUUAGCAUUAAACUCUGCAGCAUGGUAGCCCUCCAGGAACAGGGUUGGCAACCUGUCCUUUGGGCAAACCACCAAAACAUUUGGCUUUUUCCAAGCUGAAGCCAAGUUCACCAAUAUAUUGUUGUUUUUAUCAGGCAUUUAUUGAGGACGGGAGCAAUUAGGGACUUUGUUAUUGUGUCUGAGCGACAGAUGGUGAAAGGCAUUAGCCGUAUCCUUGCUGUUACUGGAGAUGAUGCCAAAAAGGUUUGAAAAUCAAAAUCUACUUUUGCGUACCAGUUCGAUUACUAACUGUUCCUGUGACGCAGGCUCGUGAGACGGCCCAAGACAUGCAAGAGGAGUUGGAGUCUCUGGCGGUCCAGGUAGGAGCUGCAAGCUCCCUGGAUAUACCAGCAGCACAGAGGCUCUCUAAAGAAGUUGGCCUCCUAAUGAAUGCAGUUGAUAUCACACCUAUCCCACAAUGGCAGAGGCGAGAGUUGCAGACUCGGCUGAAAGCAAUGCAGAAGACUAGCAACAACACCAUCAGAAAUCAGAGAUCAAAGAGGCUGCCUUGAAAGCCAAAGAGCUGCUGGUCAACCACUCUAAUAAACCUGUGGUGGUGGACUUGAUCCAUACGGUAAUUACUAAGUUUUGUGGUGAUGUUUGAUGAUUGUAUUUGUGUCAAAUGUAAACAAUUUGUAUACAUGCGAUCUUGUUUAGGUGCUGAUGAAGACUGUGCUCCAGCUGAGCGAGAGUACUCCAGACUCCAUGGUUAUGUUGUUGUCUGACCUGCAGUUGUCAGGGAAGGUGCUUUGUGCCUGCCAAGUACCCAAGGUACAGCACACACAAAAUCUCACAACUAUGAUAUAAUUAUCCACAGGUAUGUGAUUGUCUUCUUACUCUCUUCCUAGGGCUCUGCCAGUGGCUCAGCCCUUAAAUGGGCUCAUUCUGUGUGUGCACGCUUGGGAGGAAAUGCAGACGGCUCAACCGAUGUGGCUAAAGGUGUAGGAAAAGCAGCCAAACUCACAGAUAUUACAGACAUCUUGCACUUGGCUGAAGAAUUUGCGCAA
rnacentral:lncRNA from 1 species